rnacentral:rRNA from 1 species
AUUGAACGCUGGCGGCAGGCCUAACACAUGCAAGUCGAGCGAGCGGCGGAGGGGUGAGUAAUGUCUGGGAAAAUGUCCGAGGGAGGGGGGGAACUACUGGAAACGGUAGCUAAUACCGCAUACCCUCAGAUGUGCGCAGAUGGGAUUAGCUAGUGGGUGGGGGAACGGCUCACCUAGGCGACGAUCCCUAGCUGGUCUGAGAGGAUGACCAGCCACACUGGAACUGAGACACGGUCCAGACUCCUACGGGAGGCAGCAGUGGGGAAUAUUGCACAAUGGGCGCAAGCCUGAUGCAGCCAUGCCGCGUGUGUGAAGAAGGCCUUCGGGUUGUAAAGCACUUUCAGCGGGGAGGCGUUACCCGCAGAAGAAGCACCGGCUAACUCCGUGCCAGCAGCCGCGGUAAUAC